rnacentral:tRNA from 1 species
GCGAGGGUGGCGGAAUUGGCAGACGCGCCAGGUUUAGGUCCUGGUCCCGAAAGGGUUGUGGGUUCAAGUCCCUCCCCUCGCA